UACAGAGGGUGCGAGCGUUAAUCGGAAUUACUGGGCGUAAAGCGCACGUAGGUGGCGACGUAAGUCGGGUGUGAAAGCCCCGGGCUCAACCUGGGAAUUGCAUUCGAGACUGCAUUGCUGGAGUACGGAAGAGGAGGGCGGAAUUCCCGGUGUAGCGGUGAAAUGCGUAGAGAUCUGGAGGAACACCGAUGGCGAAGGCAGCCUUCUGGGCCAACACUGACGCUCAUGCACGAAAGCGUGGGGAGCAAACAGG
rnacentral:rRNA from 1 species